rnacentral:rRNA from 1 species
UAGGGAAUAUUGCAAAAUGGGCGAAAGCCCGAUGCAGCAACGCCGCGUGGGCGAUGAAGGCCUUCGGGUCGUAAAGCCCUUUUUGAGGGGAUGAGGAAGGACAGUACCCUCAGAAUAAGCCUCGGCUAACUACGUGCCAGCAGCCGCGGUAAAACGUAGGAGGCGAGCGUUAUCCGGAUUUACUGGGCGUAAAGCGCGUGCAGGCGGAUUGGAGAGUUGGAUGUGAAAGCUCCCGGCUUAACUGGGAGAGGUCGUUCAAUACUUCCAGUCUUGAGUGCAGUAGAGGGCAGUGGAAUUCCGGGUGUAGUGAUGAAAUGCGUAGAUAUCCGGAGUAACACCAUUGGCGAAAGCGGCUUCCUGGACUGUAACUGACGCUCAGACGCGAAAGCUAGGGUAGCAAACG